UGCUAGGGGAGCCCAAGGCUGAGAUAACACAUUUCGUGUUGACCCUCAUUACUUGAACCGGUUAAUGCCGGCGUAAGGAAGCAGC
rnacentral:ncRNA from 1 species